UACGUAGGGUGCAAGCGUUAAUCGGAAUUACUGGGCGUAAAGCGUGCGCAGGCGGUUUGUAAGUCUGUCGUGAAAGCCCCGGGCUCAACCUGGGAAUUGCGAUGGAGACUGCAAGGCUUGAAUCUGGCAGAGGGGGGUAGGAAUUCCACGUGUAGCAGUGAAAUGCGUAGAGAUGUGGAGGAACACCGAUGGCGAAGGCAGCCCCCUGGGUCAAGAUUGACGCUCAUGCACGAAAGCGUGGGGAGCAAACAGG
rnacentral:rRNA from 1 species